AUGUUCGAUACAUCAACUAACUCACUGUUUGUGUUUGCACCUGAUUACUGCUUGAUAAUUUCCACAAAGAACCUGGGGCGUCUUAGAAAGCGAACAGCUGCUGGUGGUGCUGCAACUUCUGAGUUGCAUGAGGAUGAGCUAAAUGUUGCUGAUGUCAAGCUGAGCAAUGAUGAAGUACGUGGGCAAAUGUUGCCUGCAUGUAGAAGCUCCAAACGCCUAUGUGGACAGCAAAUUAGAAAGCAAGACUCGGUUGGGAGGGAGGGCGAGGAUGAUGUAUUUGCAGACAGCAAGGAUGGUGGGCAAAUGUUGCAUCCAUGCAGAAGAUCCAAACGUCUACAGAGAAACCUAGCUGCAAAGCAAGAAUUGAGUAGCAUGGAGAGUCAGCAUGAUGUAUUUGUGAACAGCGAGGAUGAGUCCAAAACGUUGGUUCAACAAAGGAGGCCAAACCGCCUCAGAAAGAGAUUUAUAUCUGAGUAUUAUAGUGGUGAAUUGGCUGAAGAUAAACACACAUCACGGAGUAGCUCUGAUUAUGAUUAUGAUCACUUGCCCCCUCAACGAAGAUCAAAGCGUCUUCGACACAGAAUGCGAACUACAUAUGAUGCAUUUGACGACGAUUCUGAUAGUGACAGUGUGGAUAAUCAUAGGAAGGCAAUUCCAUGCAGAAGAAUGUCAAAGCGUCUACAAGAGAAACAGAAGGCUGACAAUGUUUCAGAUGAGAACUGCACCGAAGCUUCUUCGUAUAUGUUGUCAGUGUCUUCAUCCACAGGAUCAGAUGACGAGCUAUUGCGUAGUACCGUAAAACCUUGCAAAGGCACUUCUAGUGGACCUAUUUGCUCAAUAUGUAAGAGUGGAGCUGGCAGCUGUCUUCUGAUCCAGUGCCAGAAUUCAAGCUGUUCUCGUAGCUUCCACACCUUCUGUCUUAGUCCUCCGAUGCAAGAUACUAAAGGCAUAUUGGUGUGUCCUCUGUGCAAAUUCGAUAAAGCAUCCUUGUCUAAGGGGAUGGAAGUGUAUGCCUCAAAAAAGAUCCAAAGGCUUGUAGGUUGCAGACGGGUGAUUCUUCAGGAGUCAGAUUUCCAGUAUCAAAUCCUAGUGAAGUGGCAAUUACUUUCUCAUCACCAUGACUGCUGGGUUCCACUUGAUUGGCUUCUUGUUUUUGACCGUCUACGAGCACAAAGCUACAUAAGGAAGAAUACCUUGCCUAAAGAGGUUUACACGGACGAUCAAAGGAAACCUGAAUGGUUUGAAGUAGAUCGUGCCAUUGCAUGUCAUCGGAAGUUUGAUCUUGGUUUAUGUGACGUCUUAGCUAGUUCCAAGGAUAAUGAAGACUUUGAAGGAUAUGAAUUCCUUGUGAAAUGGAAAGGCCUUGAUUAUUGUGAUGCUACAUGGGAGUCGUAUUCCACUGAAGGCGUGCAGUCAGCUGUUUCUAUGCUUGUCAAAAGGCAUCAAAAUACUUCACGAAGAGUUGAUUGUGUCAGCCCAAUGAACAUCGAAGGGAUGGUAUCAGAAAAUGUACACAAUGAUGCACUAUACGAUUAUCAGCUUCAAGGGUUAAAAUGGAUGUUCGAUAAUUUUAAAUCUAGGAGGAGCGUUAUUCUUGCUGAUGAAAUGGGUCUUGGCAAAACUGUCCAAGUUGUCAGCUUUCUCAGCCACAUAAUCAAGGGAAGUUUCACAACAUCUCCUGCGUUGGUUCUUGCUCCAAAGAGCAUCCUACUGCAAUGGAAAAAGGAAUUUGAUCGCUGGGCACACGAUCUUAAUAUUAUUGUUUACCAAGGAGAUAAGGACUCCAGAAAGUGUAUUCAAGCUCAUGAAAUGUACUCUACCGAAGGGAAGACUCUAUUUGAUGCUCUAGUGACAAGUUAUGAGAUUAUCCAAAUUGAUAAAGCAGUUCUACAAAAAAUUAAGUGGUCAAUGAUUGUCAUUGAUGAGGCUCACAGAUUGAAGAAGCUUGAUUGCAAUCUUGCAUCCUGCCUAAAAAAAUAUAGCUCAGAAUUCCGGUUGCUACUUACAGGAACACCGUUGCAAAAUAACAUCUUGGAAUUGUUUUCGUUGCUUCACUAUAUUGAUCCAGAUGAGUUCUCUGACCCAAAGGCUGAUGCGUUGUUCUCACCAAUUGAAUCUGAACUGGAUUUGACAAUUGAUGAAAAAAUUGCUCGCAUUCAUGAUAUUCUAAAGCCUAGGAUGUUGAGGAGAAUGAAAUCUGAUGUGCUAAAAGAUUCUAUGCCAACAAAGAAGUGGGUGGAAGUUCCGUGUGCGCUUACAGAUUCUCAGAGAGAUCUUUACAUUAAUAUUCUAGAGAAAAACUACUCAAAGUUGAAUAGUGCUAUUCAGUAUGGUAGGAAGCUUUCUCUGAACAAUGUACUUAUGGAGCUGCGGAAAUGCUGCAAUCAUCCGUAUCUAUUUCCAGGAUUGGAAGUUAAACAGCACGAAGGAGAAGAUGUUUUCCAGUCACUUGUUUCUGCAUCAGGGAAACUUCAACUCUUAGACAAGUUGCUCCCAAAAUUGAAAGAAAGAGGGAACCGUGUAUUGAUUUUCUCCCAGAUGACGAAGAUGCUUGAUAUUCUUGAGGACUUCCUUUCUUUCCUGGGAUACAAAUAUGCACGCAUAGAUGGACAGACAGCACUCUCUGCGAGGCAGGAGAGCAUAAAAGAAUACAACAACACUGAAAGUGAAACAUUUAUUUUCUUGAUGUCAACUCGUGCUGGUGGUCUAGGUAUUGACCUGCCUGGUGCUAAUAGAGUAAUUAUAUAUGAUCCAGACUUCAACCCGUUUAUGGACUUGCAAGCACAGUCCAGGGCUCACCGGAUUGGCCAGACCCGGCCGGUGGUUGUUUACCAGCUUAUUACCAAAUGUUCUGUUGAAGAGAAGAUACUGCAGAAGUCUAAACAGAAGCUGGCCAUUGAAAAUAUGUUAAUGAACUCUUCCAACUCCAAGAAGCCAAGUGUGGAUGAGCUGCAGUCAAUUCUACUACAUGGAGCAAAGACAAUAGUGGACAAAAAGAAGAUCAAUGCUGUAUCAAUCCAUUAUGAUGACGAGGCCAUCGAGAGUCUCCUCAAGUUAGACCCUUCGAGUGGCGAGAUGUGCACUUCAGAUGACAACGGUUAUCUUGGCAGCAUCGUGAGCUUUGCUCAUGGUGCCGAGGAUGUAGUAGUACCUCCCUCCCCCAAUGUUGAUGAUCUGAAAGUUUUCAAGCCUCUCACUCCCAAGGUGGAUCUUGGACGUGGGAGAAGGCAAAGGAAUGUGGUGAAAUAUUUCGAGGAGGUGGACCAUGAAGACAGCGAUGAUAUGUAUGCUCCAGAGCCUUCGUCGGAGUCCAGCAGCUCUUCCUCUGAUGAUGAAACAGAGCAAGAAAUUCCUGAAGUAGCAAUUGCUAGAACUGAAGCAGCCGUCCAGACUGAAGCUGCGACCGUUGUGAAGCUGGAAGUACCUCCCGUUCCUGGCGGCCCCUUGAGUUCCUAG
rnacentral:rRNA from 1 species